rnacentral:lncRNA from 1 species
AUGGUUCCGACAGGGCCCGAGCGGGUCCGAACGGGUUUGAGCGGGGCUGAGGGCCCCGAGCGGUUCCGAACGGGCCCGAAUGGACCCGAAGGGGCCCGAGCUGAGGGGGCAGCGCGGGGUGGGGCCUUCGGCCUCGGCCGCCUCCUCUUCCUCCUCCUGCUGCUCUUCCUCCUCUUCCUCCUCUGCUCCUUCUUCGUUCUCUGCUCUUCAGCCUCUUCCUCCUCCUCAUCCUCAUCUUCCUCCUGCUGCUCUUCCUCCUCUUCCUCUUCUGUUCUCCUCAUCCUCAUCUUCCUCAUCCUCCUCUGCUCUUCCUCCUCAUCCUCCUCUGCCUCUUCCUCCUCCUCCUGCUCAGCCUCUGGGUCCGCUCCUCUUCCUCCUCUUCCUCCCCUUCCUCCCCUUCCUCCCCUUCCUCCUCCUCCUCAGGGCUCUGGGAAGGAGCUGGGCUGGGGCUCUGUGGCCUUCCUCCCGCACCUCUUCCUCCUGCUCUUCCUCCCACUUUUCCUCCUCUUCAUUUCCUUCUCCUCUUCCUCCUCUUCCUGCUUUUCCUGCUUUUCCUCUUCUUCUUCUUCCUUCUCUUCUCCUUUUCUUCUUCUUCUCCUGCUCUUCCUCCCCUUCUCAUCUUCCUCCUUCUCUUCCUCCUCUUCAUCUUGUCCUGCUCUUCCUCCCCUUACUGCUCUUUCUCCUCACCCGCUCUUCCUCCUCCUCCUCUUCCUCCUUUUCCUCUUCUUCCUCCUCUUCAUCUUUUCCUGCUCUUCCUCCUCCUCCUCUUCCUCCUCUUCUCCUGCUCUUCCUCGUCUCCCUCUUCUUCCUCCUCCUCCUGUUCUUCCUCUUCAUCUUUCCCUGCUCUUCCUCCUCUUCCUCCUGCUCUUCCUCCUCCUGUUCUUCCUCCUUUUCCUUUUCUUCCUCUUCCUCCUCUUCAUCUUCUCCUGCUCUUCCUCCCCUUCUCUUCUUUCUCCUCCUCUUCUCCUCCUCCCCUCCCUCCUCUUCCUCCUCUUCUGCUCUUCCUCCUUUCCCUCCUCUUCCUCCUCUCCUUUUCCUACUCCUCUUCCUCCUCUUCCUCUUCUCCUGCUCUUCCUCCCCCGCCGGGCUCUCUGUGGAAUUCUGGGAAUUUGGGGAAUUCCAGGAAUUUUUCAUUCCGGGGCUGUUUUGGGAAUUCCGAGGGGGUUCGGGAAUUCCAGGAGUUUUGGCGAUUCUGGAAUUUUGGCAUUUCUGGGAAUUUUGGUAAUUCCAGGGUUGUUUUUGGGAAUUCCAGGAAUUUGA